GAUGAACGCUGGCGGCGUGCCUAAUACAUGCAAGUCGAACGCAUAGCGAAAGGUGCUUGCACCUUUCAAGUGAGUGGCGGACGGGUGAGUAACACGUGGACAACCUGCCUCAAGGCUGGGGAUAACAUUUGGAAACAGAUGCUAAUACCGAAUAAAACUUAGUGUCGCAUGACACAAAGUUAAAAGGCGCUUCGGCGUCACCUAGAGAUGGAUCCGCGGUGCAUUAGUUAGUUGGUGGGGUAAAGGCCUACCAAGACAAUGAUGCAUAGCCGAGUUGAGAGACUGAUCGGCCACAUUGGGACUGAGACACGGCCCAAACUCCUACGGGAGGCUGCAGUAGGGAAUCUUCCACAAUGGGCGAAAGCCUGAUGGAGCAACGCCGCGUGUGUGAUGAAGGCUUUCGGGUCGUAAAGCACUGUUGUAUGGGAAGAACAGCUAGAAUAGGAAAUGAUUUUAGUUUGACGGUACCAUACCAGAAAGGGACGGCUAAAUACGUG
rnacentral:rRNA from 1 species